CUAUGCCUGCUCUUUUGUGGAUGGAUUCGCUUGCCUAGGUCUUGAUCGUGCUUUUGAAUUUACUAUGAACUAUGAACUAAGAAUUUAGAGCGAGUCUUGUUUUGAGCAUCUCAUUCUGGUGCUCGGCUUGGAUUGAAGUGUGUAACAACCCUGAAGAAUAAAGGGUAGAAGUCGUAGUAGUAUUAAUAGUUAGAUGUAGAAGAUGAGUAAAGGUAGCAGCUUUACUAGCUAGAAGAAGAAUAAGUGACAGCAGGGGGUGGUGAGGAGUGAGCUCGGCGGAGCGAUCCGACGGUAAGGCGCUCGAGCGGAACUCCGGCGGGAAGGCGCCUUCGAAGGNACCUUUGGAUAUAGCAGAGAAUAGGAAGAUUUGUAAUGUGCCAUUUUGAUUUGGGAAAGAGAAAGAGCAUUGGAAUUGUAUGUUUAUGUUUAUUAACACAUAAGUGCUACAUGUGAAAUUGAGUAAGGCACGCCAUAAAUGUGACCUCUUUAUGAACAAGUAUGCCAAAUCGCGCUCAAUUAUAGCAUGUGUCGAAUUUGGGAAUUGCUUAAUCUGGCUCAUCCUGUCGCUCCUUUUUUGUUACUGUUUCCCCCACACCCUUUUUCCCCGUUUUGAAGAGCCAUUAAAUUGCUCUUUUAUUGGUGGCUCUAAUCUGAUGAUACGAAGGGCGAAAUAUUCGUAUCAAAUGUGUUAAUGAAGUGUGAACUUUCAGGGGGAAAUUUGUAAUGAAUCCUUUACACAAAUCUCCAUUCCUGUGUUAAUCAUGUUUGUUAUAGUUAAGGAUGCAGGGUCAGUAAAGCUUCUUGGGAUGUGAAAACUAUUAAAACACCUGUGGAACCUACCGCAAUUAGUCAUCUGGGGCCUACAUUCCAUUAUUUUGGCGAGUCUCGGAGACCCUUCUAUGUGCAUGCAUUGGGAUUCCAUAUUCAAUUUUCCUCGCCUACGCGGAAGCAGCAGAAGAAACAAAGAAGGGAAGGUUGUUUCCUGUCUCCUCACUCUCUUUUACCAUAUUAAUCUCCUCGUCAUACACUUUUCAAUGUCGUGGUGUGGGUCAACAAUUAUUGUGUUUACAUGAACAUGCCUUUCUCUGAGUUUCUCUGUUCGCACAUCAAGAGAGCUGCUUCUGAAUUGUUAUCUCUUUCUUCAUGUGUAACGACCCUGGAGAAUAAAUGGUAGAGGUAGCAGUAGCAGUAGUAAUAGUUAGCAUGGGAGAAUAGUAAAAAUAGCAACUUUACUAGUUAAAAUGGAGAAUAAAAGUGGCAGCAGCAGAAUGGUGAAGGAGCGAGCUCAGUGGGGUGAACCGGCGGCAAGGGCGUUCAGGCGGAACUCAGGCGGGCGACGAGGAAGGGUGGCGCUGCGGCCGCGGCAGCCUUCCCAGCGACUGUCUCCCUCAAGAAAGCGAAGGCGCCGGCCGCGCUCUGGAACCCGCCGCAGGCCUGCUUGAGCCUUGCGGCGAUGGUGCGAUCGGCGGCGUGGGCGAUCUGCGAGUAGACGGCGGCAGUGGGGGAAAUGGGAGGAACGCGAAGGGAGAAGGAGGUCCGACAGCAUCUACGGUUGGGGAAGAUGGAAGCCUUGCGGGUCGGAUGGGCAGAUUUCCGGAUCGGAGGCAAAACGCGAACCCAAGACCCGCCGGCAAUGGAUAGUGCGGAGAAGGCGAACCCGCAACCCGCUUGCCCGUUUACCAGACAACUUCGGACCGAACAAGCCCAGCGGAGGCCCAGCCUGCGAGUGAAUCGCGGCCCAGCCUGCUCUCACCCAGUUUACAUAUUGCUGUUUAGCCCUUAUAGGAUAGUUUACUUUAAUUUCAAUACCAGUUGUAGAGGAAUAUAUCUAACAGAAUGUCAUGAGAAGAUCAUAAAUGAAAAUGAAAUAGUCUAUUUCUCCCCCAAAGGUUCUUCUCCAAACCCUUCUUCUUCUCUAUCCCUUAUCUCUAUCCCAACUCUUUUCCCUAACCCUCACCUCUCAAUCCUCAUCUGUCUAUCUCUCUACCUCUAUUUCUCUUCUCUCUAUCUCAAUCCCAAUUUCUAUCUCUAUUUUCUUACCUCUCUAGCCUCGGUUACCGACUACGUUACCUCCGAUACGCGACCGGAAGGACCAAGAACCUGAUCCGAGCCAUAAGGGAUAUUACAAUUGGUAUCAGAGCGGCACUGUCCCAGGGCCGUGGGCGGCGGGAAUUCAACAGGAGCAAGAACGUUGGAGUUUCAGCAGCUGUGAGGAAUUACGUCGAACAAUGGAGGCGCAACAGGUAACAUCAUCCAAUUAGCAUAAUUAAGCAACAGAAGGCUCACACGAGGGUGUACGGAGGUAGUAGCAAGGACUAGUGCUGGUUCUAUUGCAAUUAGAACAGCACCAGGCCUCAGGCAAGCAUCUUUGGCACCUCGGCCGAAUUACUGUAGCAGGUGUUAAUUCCAGAUCAAACAAGAGUGAAGCAAUCAGUAGCGUCCAGGGGCAACAAUUGCAAAAAAGAGCGAAAACCGAUUCAAAUUCGAAACCAAGAGAAGUGAGAUCCCAGGGAUCGGUGCUGCGACAGUCGCGUGAUUCCGAUUCUUAGAAUUGUAGAGUCAAUUGCGACAUAGCUACCUGCGCUGCGAGAAUCGGCUUCGGCUGGAUCUCGACAAAAGGGGCCGCAGCGGAAUCACACUGAUUCUGAGUUUUACACAGUUCUAGCAGAGCUAAUUUCUGCUCAAUUGUGAAGCUCCCACCUGGUACCUGCGAAUAAUUCUCAAGCAGGUAGAUCCCACAUUGUAUAGCUUAGCAAAAUUGGGUCAACACGAGGCAACAGAUCUAAAUUCACUAGUAGCUUGUACAAGGCAAGAGAAGAAUUAGUUACUGUCCAGGGAUGGUAGGCAAAAUGGCUAUUGGAACAAAGUGGCAGCAACAAACUACUAGUUAUAACCAAAGCUUUGAAGGAACGUUGCAAAUUGCUAGGGAUUUCAAUCAGAAUUUAGAUAUUUUGGCGCAAAGGAUUGAAACCCUGCGGAAGGAAGAGGCAAGGAGGUACGAAAUUAUGAUGGAGGAGGAGGCCCGAAGGCAUGAACAACUCCUAGAGUUGAUUAGAAGCCGAUUUGUACAUGCUAAAGGGAAAGGGACAGUAGUGCAAGUUCCGAUAGAAAAGAAACAUCGGCAACAGUACAUGCCAUACAUGGAGAUAAGUUUCCCAGAUUUUAACGGAACAGAUCCAAAAGGAUGGUUACGAAAUUGCGAGCAGUAUUUUGACCGAUACCAAGUUCCUGAGCAACAAUGGAUAGGCAUAGCGUCCAUGCACAUAGAGGGUGAUGCACGGUUUUGGAAGCAAGCAUAUUUCUUUAACCGACCAGAGGUAAAUUGGGGCGAGUUUUCCGAUGCCAUUUGUAAAAGAUUUACAGCGACGAAAGAGAGGUACCCAACCCAAGAGUUUAGUACUUGCAAGCAAACCAAUUCUAUAGAGAGCUGCCAAAAGAAUUGUGAAGCCGCAAAGAGAUCUGAAACUAUGGUGCAGGAGGAUGAUCACAUACAUGAAGCUGGAAGUGCAGGAUCAGAGAAAGAGUGUGAUGAUUAUCUACAGUUGGAGAUCAAUAGAAAACCAGAGAUAGCAUGGAGCGAGCGUGCUAGCAAGCCAGAGGAGCUGCUGAAGCUGCUCGCAGCACAGCCACCUCUACUCAAGCCUGCUCACAAUGCCCCAAAUGCAUACACUACUUCAGCUGAAACUGAAAGUACCAUAAAAGCUGUUGCCAAUACGACUCACAAUUCCGAAGAGAGUCUUAAUCUUAAUCUUGAAGAAGGGCCUGCACCAAGUGAGCAAACAAAGAUGCAAGGGCUGUGCAAUGAAUACGGAGAGGAGUACAGCACGGGGAAGCAAUGCAAGAAUAGCUCCCUGCAUAUGUUAACGGCACAGAAAAAGGCUGAAAUGAGUGCUGGAUCCGAAGCAGCAAAAGAAGAAGGAUGGGAGCCACAACAAGUAGAAGAAGGAAAUGCUUACGACGCUGUAAGUAUCAAGGAGUCAAAUAACCAAGCCCUUCUAAGUUUGGUUGAUGAUAGAAGCAUACAUAGCCUUAUUCACUUCGGAACGGCAAAAGCUACCAAAGUGGGAUCUACUACUUUUGCACCCUUGAUAGUGAUAGCAGACCGGGAUCCCAAGAUGCUAAGCAAAGAUUCUUGUCCUCAGUUUGCAAGGAAGAAACCAGGUUACAAAUUCUUGGCUGAUUCAAGAGAAUUGAGACUCAAAAGUUCUGACAUAGCGCUUAGAAUCGAUUGGAUGAAGGAAUAUAGGCAAGUGCCUUUUGAUCCAGGACCUAACAAGGUGACAUUUCGCAGCAUUGAAGGAGAAGCCUCUCACAAAUUUAUCAUGACAAGUAAGUUACAAAAGGUAAUCCAUCAGAAAAUACGAGGUAUGCUGGGUCAAUCUGCUAUGAUUAGAAUUGGAGAAAUGGCGAAGGCGAUUACUACAGAAGGUUGCAAGAGAGUUAAUAGCAUAGGCUUAAUUGGUAUUGUUGAGGGCCUCAAUAAGCACAUCCAAAGAAGGCCAAUUGAAGCGUAUCAAGAGAGCAUUGAGAACUCAAGGAUCCAAACGCUACUUCGAAACUCUAGCCUGGAAGAAGCUUACAUUGCGUACAGCUUGGUGAAUGGGUGUAAGGAAUUAGGGUCUGUGCUUAAGAUGCCUCACCCAUGCUCGCGAUUUCUGGCCUAUGAACAAGACAAGCUGCAGGAAUCUGAUGUAAGUGAUUGCAACUUCCAUAAUGCUAACUAUGUUCAUAGUGUGAUGGUUAUAGGCAACAGCUUUCUAAGCCUGGUCGAAGGUCAAGUUCACCCUGAAAAUGGAGAAGAUCAGGAUGUAAGAGAAUUAGAAGAUGAAACUAGCUGUUCCCUCAUCAUAGCUAGGAUGGUUAUGAAGAGGUUUGCCGAUAAAAAGUGGUGUGAUGGUCUCUAUAGGCAAAAGAUUUCGAAGGAUUGUUCCGCACUUAAGAAGAAGACCAAUGGGGAGCAGAAUGAAAUCAGUCGUGAAGACCAUAUAGAGAUCAAGACUAUGGAAAAAAUCUCAGAGCUCACAUUAAGUCAGUUUGCACUUUACCACAUCUCGGAGCAGACAAGACUGGCGGCGUGCAGGUUGCGACUGCCUGAAGGUCCCGAGGGUGAGCCCUCGCCCCAACAGGUACCGCCGUCCAUGCUGCCAACCAGAGAUGAUAGGCGAGUGUGGACACGAAUUGGAAACACCUCACACCAGCACAAGGUGACGCAAGAAAACAGAACAGAGGUUUCAAUAUGGCUUAAAGGAAACAAUUCUGAAGAAGAAGAAUGUGCCGCGAGUGAAGCAAAUGAGAGCCCCAAACCAGUUCAACAAGUUCCAUCCUUGAGGACAAGGAUGAUUUUAAGGGGAGGGGAUUGUAACGACCCUGGAGAAUAAAUGGUAGAGGUAGCAGUAGCAGUAGUAAUAGUUAGCAUGGGAGAAUAGUAAAAAUAGCAACUUUACUAGUUAAAAUGGAGAAUAAAAGUGGCAGCAGCAGAAUGGUGAAGGAGCGAGCUCAGUGGGGUGAACCGGCGGCAAGGGCGUUCAGGCGGAACUCAGGCGGGCGACGAGGAAGGGUGGCGCUGCGGCCGCGGCAGCCUUCCCAGCGACUGUCUCCCUCAAGAAAGCGAAGGCGCCGGCCGCGCUCUGGAACCCGCCGCAGGCCUGCUUGAGCCUUGCGGCGAUGGUGCGAUCGGCGGCGUGGGCGAUCUGCGAGUAGACGGCGGCAGUGGGGGAAAUGGGAGGAACGCGAAGGGAGAAGGAGGUCCGACAGCAUCUACGGUUGGGGAAGAUGGAAGCCUUGCGGGUCGGAUGGGCAGAUUUCCGGAUCGGAGGCAAAACGCGAACCCAAGACCCGCCGGCAAUGGAUAGUGCGGAGAAGGCGAACCCGCAACCCGCUUGCCCGUUUACCAGACAACUUCGGACCGAACAAGCCCAGCGGAGGCCCAGCCUGCGAGUGAAUCGCGGCCCAGCCUGCUCUCACCCAGUUUACAUAUUGCUGUUUAGCCCUUAUAGGAUAGUUUACUUUAAUUUCAAUACCAGUUGUAGAGGAAUAUAUCUAACAGAAUGUCAUGAGAAGAUCAUAAAUGAAAAUGAAAUAGUCUAUUUCUCCCCCAAAGGUUCUUCUCCAAACCCUUCUUCUUCUCUAUCCCUUAUCUCUAUCCCAACUCUUUUCCCUAACCCUCACCUCUCAAUCCUCAUCUGUCUAUCUCUCUACCUCUAUUUCUCUUCUCUCUAUCUCAAUCCCAAUUUCUAUCUCUAUUUUCUUACCUCUCUAGCCUCGGUUACCGACUACGUUACCUCCGAUACGCGACCGGAAGGACCAAGAACCUGAUCCGAGCCAUAAGGGAUAUUACAAUUGGUAUCAGAGCGGCACUGUCCCAGGGCCGUGGGCGGCGGGAAUUCAACAGGAGCAAGAACGUUGGAGUUUCAGCAGCUGUGAGGAAUUACGUCGAACAAUGGAGGCGCAACAGGUAACAUCAUCCAAUUAGCAUAAUUAAGCAACAGAAGGCUCACACGAGGGUGUACGGAGGUAGUAGCAAGGACUAGUGCUGGUUCUAUUGCAAUUAGAACAGCACCAGGCCUCAGGCAAGCAUCUUUGGCACCUCGGCCGAAUUACUGUAGCAGGUGUUAAUUCCAGAUCAAACAAGAGUGAAGCAAUCAGUAGCGUCCAGGGGCAACAAUUGCAAAAAAGAGCGAAAACCGAUUCAAAUUCGAAACCAAGAGAAGUGAGAUCCCAGGGAUCGGUGCUGCGACAGUCGCGUGAUUCCGAUUCUUAGAAUUGUAGAGUCAAUUGCGACAUAGCUACCUGCGCUGCGAGAAUCGGCUUCGGCUGGAUCUCGACAAAAGGGGCCGCAGCGGAAUCACACUGAUUCUGAGUUUUACACAGUUCUAGCAGAGCUAAUUUCUGCUCAAUUGUGAAGCUCCCACCUGGUACCUGCGAAUAAUUCUCAAGCAGGUAGAUCCCACAUUGUAUAGCUUAGCAAAAUUGGGUCAACAUGAGGCAACAGAUCUAAAUUCACUAGUAGCUUGUACAAGGCAAGAGAAGAAUUAGUUACUGUCCAGGGAUGGUAGGCAAAAUGGCUAUUGGAACAAAGUGGCAGCAACAAACUACUAGUUAUAACCAAAGCUUUGAAGGAACGUUGCACAUUGCUAGGGAUUUCAAUCAGAAUUUAGAUAUUUUGGCGCAAAGGAUUGAAACCCUGCGGAAGGAAGAGGCAAGGAGGUACGAAAUUAUGAUGGAGGAGGAGGCCCGCAGGCAUGAACAACUCCUAGAGUUGAUUAGAAGUCGAUUUGUACAUGCUAAAGGGAAAGGGACAGUAGUGCAAGUUCCGAUAGAAAAGAAACAUCGGCAACAGUACAUGCCAUACAUGGAGAUAAGUUUCCCAGAUUUUAACGGAACAGAUCCAAAAGGAUGGUUACGAAAUUGCGAGCAGUAUUUUGACCGAUACCAAGUUCCUGAGCAACAAUGGAUAGGCAUAGCGUCCAUGCACAUAGAGGGUGAUGCACGGUUUUGGAAGCAAGCAUAUUUCUUUAACCGACCAGAGGUAAAUUGGGGCGAGUUUUCCGAUGCCAUUUGUAAAAGAUUUACAGCGACGAAAGAGAGGUACCCAACCCAAGAGUCUAGUGCUUGCAAGCAAACCGGUUCUUACCAAGAGAAUUGUGAAGCCAUUAAGAUGCACAAAAGCAUGAUGCAGGAGGAUGGCCGCAAGCAUGAACAACUCCUAAAUUCACCCAGGAGCCGACCUAUGCAUGAUGAAAAAAAUGAGAUAAAAGUGCAAGGUACUGAAGAGGAGUUUGGCACAAUACCUGCAUGCAAGGCUGCAGAAAGGGGAAUUAGUUCACUAACUAGUUCGGAAAACAACUCUAAGACUGAAGUAAAAAAAUUGGAGCAAAAACAGUAUCAAAAUCUGAAGAUGAAAGUAUACACAAGGUGUGACGAGGAGCUGAGAAACAGAUUUGGCAAACCGGAGGAGUUGCCGAGGUUGCAUGCAACUCAACCAUCUCUUAGUAAGCUUAUUUCAGCUAUCGCAACACCCCACUCAGAGAACAAAGGCUCAAAGGAAAACAACUUCGAAGAAAACAUCAUUCCAUCCCCUAGAAGAGCAAACAAAGAUCAAUUUCAUCAUCAGCAUCAACAGCAUAAGCUCUGGAAGCGAUCUAUAAGGCGUGGAACCGAUCAUCAUUGUCGCCAUCCAGUUCUCAGAUCGAAUUCACCAUUGAAGGUUGCGACUCAGUUCGGGACCAAAUCGGGCCUAGAUCGACCCUUGGUAACACCUCAAUCAUCAUCGCAGCCAACCAAAUCUCCGAGAUUACAAUCGGCGAUGGAUGCUACUCAGAUUGGGUUAUUACAAGCUGGAAAAGCAAAGGCAGAAAAGCGAGAUAUUGAUAACUGCAAAAAUAAACCCCCUUGGAAGAAAAUUACUGCAGAGAGGUCACUAGGGGUGAGGAGCAGGGGCUUAACUGAUGAAAAGCCAGAGAAAGCUUAUCAAGCAAGAUCUGAGGACUUCAGGGCCCACAAGUUAAUCCAAAUCUCUAACCUGGCAGAAGCCAGCAUGGUGCGCAGCGUUGCGAAUGGAUAUAAGGAGCUUAGUUCUAUGCUUGGAAGGCCUCAUCCUUGUUCACUGGCUUUGGCUUAUGAACAAACCAAACAGAAAGAAUCCAAUAAAGAAUGGGAAAUUACACUACUUGCAGAAGGCAAAUGCAGGGCAAUUACCAUUUUUACACCAAAAUGGAAACAGGAAGUGCAGGAUGGUGAUGAGGCAGGCUCCCAAGUCAAGCAAGUUACCACAGAGCUAAUAGUGUAUGCAAUCUCUAAACCCAAUUGUAACACCAAGCCUACCAACACAGCUCCAAGGAUAAAUCUGAAGCUUAUCUCAAAGUAUUAUGGGCCACUGAAGGUAUUAGAGAGGAUGGACAUGCAGUACAAGGAGCUAGGGACUGUGCUUAAGAGGCCUCACCCAUGCUCGCGAUUUCUGGCCUAUGAACAAGACAAGCUACAGGAAUCUAAUAGAAACUUGGGUGUUACCUUGCACAUAAAAGGGGGAUGCAAAGCACUUACCAUGAAUAUGUGCAGAUGGAUGCAAGCUGUGCAAAAUAGAAGUGAAGAAGACCAUCUGCUAAUUGAAUUUCAUCCUUCUAGGGCGUGGCAAGUUGAUCAGGGUAUUGAACAGUUCACUCGAUGGUCAGGAAUUGAAAGGGAUAUGCAUCAGUUAGUGCAAGAUUGUGAAGUUUGCUUAAGAUCUAAGGAAGAAAAUAGGCCCAAACAUUGCUACAAGAAGCUGAAGCUUGAAGAAUGGUGGUCCUACACUAGAUUCUACAUCUCAUCAGGAAGGGGAAUUUUACAAGGUCCGGUGGCACGCGGGUUGUCACUGCCUGAAGGUCCCAAGGGUGAGCCCCCGCCCCAGCAGGAGCCGCCGUCCAUGUUGCCAACCCGAGAUGUUAGGAGAGUGUGGACACAGUUGGAAACACCUCACGCCGGCGCGAAGCAGGGCAAGAAAACAGAACAGAUAUUAGAAGAUGGCUUAAAAAGAAGCAAUUUUGAAAAAGAAGAAUGUGCCGCGAGUGAAGCAAAUGGGAGCCCCAAACCAGUUCAACAAAGUUCCAUCCUUGAGGACAAGGAUGAUUUUAAGGGGAGGGGAUUGUAACAACCCUGAAGAAUAAAGGGUAGAAGUCGUAGUAGUAUUAAUAGUUAGAUGUAGAAGAUGAGUAAAGGUAGCAGCUUUACUAGCUAGAAGAAGAAUAAGUGACAGCAGGGGGUGGUGAGGAGUGAGCUCGGCGGAGCGAUCCGACGGUAAGGCGCUCGAGCGGAACUCCGGCGGGAAGGCGCCUUCGAAGGGGCUCAGGCGAGCUCAACAGUGCUAGGGCAUCCUCAGAGCUCGGAGAGGGCGAUGGAAGGAUCGAGAACGGAGAGAAGGGGAGUCCGACAGAACAAUAGCGUUUGGGGCGAAGAAGAGAACUUGCGGGUCGAAGCUUCCGAGUCGCGGAUCGGAGGAAAAAUGCGAACCCAAGACCCGCCGGGUGGAGGGUAGUGCGGAGAAGGGCUAUCCGAUAUCCACUUACCCAUUAUUGGCGGAUCGGGCCAGCCACAUCGCGGAUCGGGCGGAAAAGGCGAGCCCAAGACCCGCUGGGCACUGGAUAGUGCGGAGAAGAAGAAACCGAGACCCACUUACCCGUUAGCUGGAGUUCCUGGACCAGGAGAGCCCAAGCGGAGGCCCAUCAACCGUCGAAUAGCAUCCAGCAAGCCACAUUCCCAUUUACCAUCAUAUUUGCUGUUAAGCCCUCACAUAGUUGUUAUUUUCAUUUCAGUACUAAUAUGCUAGGGAGUAUAAAUAGUGAAAUGUAAUGUAAUCGAGGCAUCAAUGAAAAUGAAAUAGUCUAUUUCUCCCCCAAAGGUUCUUCUCCAAACCCUUCUUCUUCUCUAUCCCUUAUCUCUAUCUCUAUCCUAACUCUUUUUCCUAACCCUCACCUCUCAAUCCUCAUCUGUCUAAUCUCUCUACCUCUAUUUCUCUUCUCUCUAUCUCAAUCCCAAUUUCUCUCUCUAUUUUCUUACCUCUCUAUCCUCGGUUACCGAUUGUGUUACCUCGGAUCCGCGACCAGAAGCACCGAGAACAGCAAUAUACAAGCCGGGAUAUUACAAAGUGUUGGGUUAAAUUCUGGAUUUUUGAUUUCAUUUCACAGAUUUUUUAUUUAAUCUAUUAGUAAAUAAACGAGACUAAACAAAAAAUGGCUAGU
rnacentral:lncRNA from 1 species